CUUUGCCCCCAAGCUUCUUGGGUGAUGAAGAGGCGUCGGUUAUAUGGCCUUUCGCUGAUCGCUUGAUCUUGCCUACGACGUAUCGACGAUACCACGAGGUGGAUCCUCUUCCUGUCGCGUCGGACGCCGCUGAGCUUAGUCUGCGGGCGUCGCAGGCUGCCUUGGCUGUACGUAGGCAGUGUUCGUUGCUGUGCGACGAGGUGACGAAUGCAAGGCAGCUGACGGCGACGGCGAAGAAGGCGGCCGCGUCGUGGGAAGCGAAGUGGAAAGCUGCUGAGAAGAAG